UAAUCUGUUGUGUGUGUGUGUGUGUGUAGCCAGCUAUAAGAUGCAAUCAAACUAGGUUUUCAAGUUAUUGAGAAAACAUCGAGGUGAACAGACAUUGCCGAGAAGCUGAGCAAUUUCAACAUUUGGAUUGUACCCUGUGUACUGAAGUAGAACUGUGUAUUGAAGUAGAACUGUGUACUGAAGUAGAACUGCUCACUUCUGACUCAACAAUGAAAGCUGUUCUUAUAACCUUCGUGACUUUACUGUGUAUCUCUACAAUGAUGCUUCCAAACGCAAUCAUGCCGAGACUUUCAGUUGCUGGAGGCCCUUUAUGAAAUUUGGAAAAAACAACAACAACAAAAAAGCCAGCGAUUGUCCCGAGUGUAAGUGUGCACGGUCUAGUCUCGACAGGAAUAUAAAAUCACAUUUCAAAGGUUAAGGCGAGACCCGGUAUGUGUACACUUUUAGAGUCACUCAUGGACUAACAUCUACAACCUUUUGAAAAAAAAAAACAACAGAAAAGCGGAAACCAAAUUUUGAAUAUACUGUUUAGAUUUUACAAUUUAACAUCCCUAACUUUCAAUUGAACAAAUGUUUUAAAGUCUGAUCAAAUAAAAGUACAUCAGUAGCA